rnacentral:rRNA from 1 species
GCAAGUCGAACGAUGAAACAGAAGCUUGCUUCUGUGAAUUAGUGGCGAAAGGGUGAGUAACGCGUGAACAAUUUGCCCCUAAGAUCGGAAUAGCCUCGGGAAACCGGGAUUAAUACCGGAUGUGGUCCUCUCUCGCAUGUGAGAGUGACUAAAGAUUUAUCACUUAGGGAUGAGUUCGCGUUCCAUUAGCUAGUUGGUAGGGUAACGGCCUACCAAGGCGACGAUGGAUAGCUGGUCUGAGAGGAUGACC